CCCUGAUCUCCUUGGAUUGAUCUCAGCUCCUUCCUGAUCUCCUUGGAUUGAUCCCAGCCCCUCCCUGAUCCCUCUGGAUCAAUCCCAGCUCCUCUGGAUUGAUCCCAGCUCCCUCCAACCCCUCUGGAUCACUCCCAGUUGCUCCCUGAUCCCUCUGGAUCGACCCCAGCUCCUCCCUGAUCUGUUUGGAUCAAUCCCAGUCCCUCUGGAUCACUCCCAGUUACUCCCUGAUCCCUCUGGAUCAACCCAAGCUCCUCUGGAUCGAUCCCAGCUCCAUCCUGAUCCCUUUAAAUCAAUCCCAGCCCCUCCCUGAUCACUCUGGAUCCAUCCCAGUUCCUCUGGAUCGAUCCCAGCUCCUCCCUGAUCUGUUUGGAUCAAUCCCAGUCCCUCUGGAUCCAUCCCAGCUCCUUCCAGUCCCUCUGGAUCACUCCCAGUUGCUCCCUGAUCACUCUGGAUCAACCCAAGCCCCUCUGGAUCGAUCCCAGCUCCUCCCUGACCCCUCUGGAUUUGAUCUCAAUUCCUCCCUGAUCCCUUUGGACCAAUCCCAGCUCCUCUGGAUCCAUCCCAGCUCCUUCCAACCCCUCUGGCUUGAUCUCAGUUUUCUCUGGAUCGAUCCUGGAUCCUCCCUGAUCCCUCUGGAUCGAUCCCAGCCCUUCUGGAUCACUCAAUCCCCAGUCCUUACCCUCCCCCAGGCUCUCCAGCCCCACAGUGGAUCCCUGAGGGAUGCCCCCCACUCCAGAAGGAUAUUUUUUGAUUUAAAGAUCCCCAUUUGGUGCCCCCAUCCCCACAGUGGAUCCCUGAGGGAUCCCCCAUUUUGUGAGCCCCAUUUUGGGUUCCAACCCCCCCGUUUGUGCCCCCAUCCCCACAGUGGAUCCCU
rnacentral:lncRNA from 1 species